CCUCCCGGGUUCAAGCAAUUCUCCUGCCUCAGCCUCCUGAGUAGCUGGGAUUACAGGUGCCCGCCACCACGCCUGGCUAAUUUGAUGGAAUACAUUUGUGCCGUUGUGCAACCUUCACCACCUCCCAUCUCCAGAACUCUCUCCAUCCUGCAAAACUGAAACUCGGCCCCGGGUGCCCCUCCCCCUCCCUGCCCCUGGCAUCCACACUCUACUUUCUGUCUAUGAUCUUCACUGGAAGUAGGUAUGUACUUUGUCCACAUUUUAAAGUGCAGAGCCUGGGACCCAGUGAGAUGAAGUCCCUUGCUUGUGGUCACUUGAUAGAAGACGACAAAGCCGGGCAUCCCACCCAAGGUCUGUGUCCACAGCCCCCGCUUUGGUGGCUACUACACUGUGGCUUCUUUCAGUUGAGUGCAGAGGAGGAAGGGGGAUUAUACUGCACAACCUCAGUGGUGAGAGGAGAUGAAUGGAUGGAAACUAAACGUAAGGAAAGUAAGGAAUGGGUGAGCCUCUGGGAAGGGUGGCAAGUUCCCAGACAUUCGAAGAAUCGAGGUCCUGAAAGGAUGAGCCAGCAGGGACAAGGCAAAGGGGACCCUGCCACAGCUGAGUGAUGGCCUAGAUGCUCGUUCCGGGUGCUGUCCAUUCUGGGACUCUAGCGAAACGGUUUUUCUGUCUAUUCAGAGUCUGCCAUUCAUUGGACUAUAAUGCCCCAUUUCAUCUAAUUGAUGACCCAAAUAGCUUCAAGUAGCUCUCUGCGGGUGGCCAGCCACUGUGGAGGGUGUCCAGUUACAGGAGCAGAGCACACUGGAUGCCUUUUCUCUUCCACAGUGGGCACUGUACGGUGGGUCCCCCCUCGUCAGGAUUAAUGAGAGCUUUGGUCGCAGGGCCCCCGCCUGUUGCCACGUGACAGUCUCAUAAGCUCACCCGGGGGAGAGGGGAGAAGCCUGUCAGGCCACUGAAGUGGGCAGUAGAACCCAGGAGAGGAAGAAAUAAAGGAGAGAGGGGGAGGGGGAGCAGAGACAGGGCCAUUGAAAGUGUUUUCCAACAAUGGACUUGGAUUGGCUUCCCCUGCCCCUGUGGCAGGGAGCUCGCUGUGCCUGUGCGGCUACAGUACUGACGAAGAAUUCAUCCCUGUCCAAGGAGAGUGAAGUGGGUUCCAUGAGGUAAGACCUGCUGGCACUCAGGGAGCAUGGGGCCAGGCCUGUGUCCACGUAUCACCAGCUUACUGAGGAGUUGUGUGGCCAGGUGCGGUGCAGUUUCUCUCAGUCGCGUUCAGAGCUGAGCUACCGGGUUCUGUGUGAGAAGGGAGCCCAUCCCUGAGCCUGUGGGACAGGUCUCCAUUGGUCAGUUGGAGUGAGUGGUCUGUGCCCCUCCUCGCCCCAUGUGUCCUGGUUUGGUCUCACCUUGGCUUCCUGGCCUUUCCAGGGCCCUGGUCUCGUCCUCACCCUAAGGCAGGCCUCUCCACCUGAGGGGCCUUCACACUGAGAUGCGUGCUGGCCUUCCCAGGACCCUCAUCUCAGUGGCUCUAAGCUGUUCACCUUCACCCUGGAUGCCUAGGAGGGCAGUGGAUGAAGAACAAAGAGGGACAACUCCCUGCUACCAGCACCAGAAAGGCCUCUGCUGACUCCCUCAAGUCCUCUUUUGCAGAUAUCUACAAAAGGCCUUGAAAGAAAACAGAACUAGAAUUAUGAA